rnacentral:rRNA from 1 species
GACGAACGCUGGCGGCGUGCUUAACACAUGCAAGUCGAACGGAAAGGCCCUGCUUUUGUGGGGUGCUCGAGUGGCGAACGGGUGAGUAACACGUGAGUAACCUGCCCUUGACUUUGGGAUAACUUCAGGCAACUGGGUCUAAUACCGUAUAGGAUCUCCUGCUGCAUGGUGGGGGUUGGAAAGUUUCGGCGGUUGGGGAUGGACUCGCGGCUUAUCAGCUUGUUGGUGGGGUAGUGGCUUACCAAGGCUUUGACGGGUAGCCGGCCUGAGAGGGUGACCGGCCAAAUUGGGACUGAGAUACGGCCCAGACUCCAACGGGAGGCAGCAGUGGGGAAUAUUGCACAAUGGGCGGAAGCCUGAUGCAGCAACGCCGCGUGCGGGAUGACGGCCUUCGGGUUGUAAACCGCUUUAGCCUGUGACGAAGCGUGAGUGACGGUAAUGGGUAAAGAAGCACCGGCUAACUACGUG